rnacentral:lncRNA from 1 species
CUAAUUGGCUAGAUCCAAAAGAAUUAACUCUACCAGCGAUCAGUCUCGAUUGACUAGGUUUGGAAGAAAUAUUUCUGACGAAUGGCUAACGAUCAGUCUCAUUGGCUAGAUCCAGAUCAUAGUCUGAUUAAAUUUCUUUUUUCAUAAUUUUAUCAUAAUCAAUUUCUCAUAAUUAAUCAAAUCAAGUUUUUCACAUCUCAUUUUCAAAAAUAAGAGAAUAAUUCUAUUCAAAAUUAGUGCAAGGAUAAACAUAUG